rnacentral:rRNA from 1 species
AUUGCCCUAGUAACGGCGAGUGAAGCGGCAACAGCUCAAAUUUGAAAUCUGGCUCUCGGGCCCGAAUUGUAAUUUGUAGAGGAUGCUUUUGGCGCGGUGCCUUCCGAGUUCCCUGGAACGGGACGCCUUAGAGGGUGAGAGCCCCGUACGGUCGGACGCCUAGCCUCUGUAAAGCUCCUUCGACGAGUCGAGUAGUUUGGGAAUGCUGCUCUAAAUGGGAGGUAAAUUUCUUCUAAAGCUAAAUACCGGCCAGAGACCGAUAGCGCACAAGUAGAGUGAUCGAAAGAUGAAAAGCACUUUGAAAAGAGGGUUAAAAAGCACGUGAAAUUGUUGAAAGGGAAGCGUUUGCGACCAGACUUUUUCCCGGCGGAUCAUCCGGGGUUUUCCCCGGUGCACUUCGCCGGGUCAAGGCCAGCAUCGGUUUUCGAGGGGGGAUAAAAGCUUGGGGAACGUAGCUCCCUCGGGAGUGUUAUAGCCCCUCGCACAAUACCUCCUCGGGGACCGAGGAACGCGCUCUGCAAGGAUGCUGGCGUAAUGGUCGUCAACGACCCGUCUUGAAACACGGACCAAGGAGUCGAACAUUUGUGCGAGUGUUAGGGUGUUAAACCCCUACGCGUAAUGAAAGUGAACGGAGGUGAGAGCCCCUCGCGGGUGCAUCAUCGACCGAUCCUGAUGUUCUCGGAUGGAUUUGAGUAAGAGCAUAACUGUUCGGACCCGAAAGAUGGUGAACUAUGCGUGGAUAGGGUGAAGCCAGAGGAAACUCUGGUGGAGGCUCGCAGCGGUUCUGACGUGCAAAUCGAUCGUCAAAUCUGCGCAUGGGGGCGAAAGACUUAUCGAACCAUCUAGUACUGGUACCA